rnacentral:miRNA from 1 species
CUUUGAAGCUUUGAAGCCAGGCAUUGACUUCUCUCUAGCUAUGAAAGUGCUAGGUGGCAUCUUCUUCCAAUAGAAGGCUGUUUUGUCUGAAAAUCUGUUGUUUAA